rnacentral:rRNA from 1 species
UACGGGGGGGGGCAAGCGUUGUUCGGAAUUACUGGGCGUAAAGGGCUCGUAGGUGGCCAACUAAGUCAGACGUGAAAUCCCUCAGCUUAACUGGGGAACUGCGUCUGAUACUGGAUGGCUUGAGAUUGGGAGAGGGAUGCGGAAUUCCAGGUGUAGCGGUGAAAUGCGUAGAUAUCUGGAGGAACACCGGUGGCGAAGGCGGCAUCCUGGACCAACACUGACGCUGAGGAGCGAAAGCCAGGGGAGCAAAGCGGG